GAAGCUCCCGAUUCUAAGAUCCAAUCUGAUGCACCUGAAGGCAUGGCCCUAGUAUGAAAAGCAAUAGGAGGUUGAUUCUUUGGAGGGUAGCCAUGCAAUUUGUAGCAUCCAUUGGCUAUAUGGCCUGAUUUGUCACAAAAUUAACAUAUUACACGCUUCGAGAAGCCCGGUGAUGUUGAUCUGGGCAUUGUAUGAUUGUGGUAAUGUUUUGGUGUUUUGUUGUAGAAUUG
rnacentral:lncRNA from 1 species